AUUGAACGCUGGCGGCAGGCCUAACACAUGCAAGUCGAGCGGAUGAAGGGAGCUUGCUCCUGGAUUCAGCGGCGCACGGGUGAGUAAUGCCUAGGAAUCUGCCUGGUAGUGGGGGAUAACGUCCGGAAACGGGCGCUAAUACCGCAUACGUCCUGAGGGAGAAAGUGGGGGAUCUUCGGACCUCACGCUAUCAGAUGAGCCUAGGUCGGAUUAGCUAGUUGGUGGGGUAAAGGCCUACCAAGGCGACGAUCCGUAACUGGUCUGAGAGGAUGAUCAGUCACACUGGAACUGAGACACGGUCCAGACUCCUACGGGAGGCAGCAGUGGGGAAUAUUGGACAAUGGGCGAAAGCCUAAUCCAGCCAUGCCGCGUGUGUGAAGAAGGUCUUCGGAUUGUAAAGCACUUUAAGUUGGGAGGAAGGGCAGUAAGUUAAUACCUUGCUGUUUUGACGUUACCAACAGAAUAAGCACCGGCUAACUUCGUG
rnacentral:rRNA from 1 species